AUACUGCUGAAGAGUCCCAAAGUAGGACGAAACAGCUGUCCAGUAC
rnacentral:hammerhead_ribozyme from 1 species